GACGAACGCUGGCGGCGUGCUUAACACAUGCAAGUCUAGGGGGCCCGCAAGGGUCACCGGCGAACGGGUGCGUAACACGUGAGCGACCUACCCUGGAAUGGGGGAUAGCCGGCCCAACGGCCGGGUAAUACCGCAUACGCUCUUCGAGCUGCAUGGCUUGGAGAGGAAACCUUUUGGGUUCCUGGAGGGGCUCGCGGCCUAUCAGCUAGUUGGUGAGGUAACGGCUCACCAAGGCAAUGACGGCUAGCUGGUCUGAGAGGAUGGCCAGCCACAGUGGGACUGAGGAACGGCCCAGACUCCUACGGGAGGAAGCAGUGGGGAAUAUUGCGCAAUGGUCGAAAGACUGACGCAGCGACGCCGCGUGGAGGAUGACGCCCUUCGGGGUGUAAACUCCUGUUGCUCGGGACGAACCUCCCCAUUCGUGGGGACUGACGGUACCGGGUGAGGAAGCACCGGCUAACUCUGUGCCAGCCGCCGCCGUAACAC
rnacentral:rRNA from 1 species